rnacentral:rRNA from 1 species
AACUAUAGUCGUGCCACCUUGAACGUGCUUGAUCUCGUCUGAUCUUGGAAGCUAAGCAGGGUCAGGCCUGGUUAGUACUCAGAUGGGAGACCACCUAGGAAUACCAGGUGCUGUGGGUG